AAUUUUUUUUAUUAUAUGUGUCUACAAUUAAUUGGGAUAGACCACCAACUCAGCCAAGUGACGCGUAUGGUACAAUAAUUUUUCUCCGCGAGGCACGUCCCUUCGAGGAUGGUAUUUUCUGGGCAUAGUUAGAGACACAGAAAAAGACACAGCAAAACCAGGUUUGGGAUUGGAAGUGUGGGGGGUAGGAGAGAGAGAACUGGGUCAUCGUUUGCCUUGCCGUUGAUUCGCGAUUUUUUUUUUUUUUAAUUGGUACAAUGACCUCAAUUUCAAUUUUUAAUUGACGUGGCCAAAUCUUGGCCGUUGGAUAAGAGGAGCCAGAUCCUUGACUCAGAUGGCAAGUCUUUAAAAGACUGGCACAGUAAUAACGCUACAGGUGAUUGAUGUCUUCGAGAGAAGUGUCUUCUUUUGAAUGAAACCCUAUACCAUAUUGUUGGAUGUGCGGCUGGUUGGGGGUAAUGGAAGUGGUUCCCAAAGAAAGAGAGCGAUUCAAGAGAAGAGAAGAGGCCUCGCAAAGGAAGAGAAAGAGAUUCAAGAGAAGAGAAGAGAAGAGCCUGAUUAUAGGUUUACAUUUUGGGAUGGGAGGAAUAGGAAAAAAAAAGUUAUUCUCAAAAUGUCAAACUUGACAAAGCUGGAAUUCGUGGUCUUGGAUAUUUCUGGCAAAAAUGAUUUAUUUUGGAUUUUGGAUGCUCAGAUCCAUUUAGAUGCCAUGGGCCUCGGAAACACAAUUAAAGAAGAGAAUGAUGCAUCAUUACAAGAUAAAGCAAAUGCCAUGAUUUUCCUUCGACGCCAUAUUAGUGAGGAGCUAAACAUUGAAUACCUCACUGAAAGAGAUUCACUUUGUUUGUGAAAAAAUUUGAAAGAAAGAUAUGAUCAUAAAAAACAGUUAUCCUCCCAAAGGCUCGGACUAACUGGCAGCAAUUGCGGUUGCAAGAUUUUAAAACUGCAGCUGAAUAUAACUCUGCUCUAUUUAAAAUCAGCUCUAUAUUGAAAUUGUGUGGUGAUACCACCACUGAUGAACUUUUAUUGGGAAAAACAUUCACCACAUUUUACGCCUCGAAUGUAUUCUUACAAUAAUAAUAUUGAGAGCGUACAUUUGAAAAAUAUUUAGAGUUGAUAUCAUGUUUACUUGUGGCAGAGCAAAAUAACGAGCUUUUGUUAAGAAACCACCAGUCUCGUCUAAUUGGAUUGACACCGAUCCCUAAAACAUAUGUUGCCUCAUUCCGUAGUCGUGGACGUCAAUCCCUGAAACAUAUGUUGCCUCAUUCCAUAGUCGUAGACGUGGUUGUGGUGGUAAAAAUGGCUAUAAUAAUGAAUAUGGUCGUGGUAAAAAAAACUACCACAAUAAUGAAUAUGGUCAUGGUAGAAAUCACUCCUAUUACCGUGAGUGUAUCAAUCCUCAAAUUUUCGCAAUCAGAGAUCUACACCAUAUCUCCAAAGGAGAGAUUAUAAAGAAAUGAAAUAAGUAAAAGGGAAAGAUGUGGCUUAACCUCCCAAGGUACAUGAUAAUACUUGUUAUCGGUGUGGAAUGAUAGGGCAUUGGCAAAGCAUUUGUCGUACACCUAAAUAUCUAGCUGAAUUUUACCGAGCCUCGAUGAAAGAAAAGGGGAAACAAAAAGAAAUGAAUUUUACUGAUCAUGUUGAGCCAGUUGACAUUACAAAUCUGGAUGUAUCAGAUUUUUUUGAGGAUCGUGAUGGAAAGAUAGACUUCCUGAUUGGUGAUGGAAAUGUCCACACCAAUUAAUCCUAUUUUGAUUUCAUAUUCUGUCUAUUAUGUUAUUUUCAACAAGUUUUUAUUUUUCUUAUAUUAAAAUUUUUAUUUUCUAGUUUAUAUUAAAGUUUCUUUUGUUAUAAAUGUUUCUUUUCUAAUAAAGAAAUUUGCAUGAAUAUGAAUGGAUCUGACUAGUUCUAAAAUAAAUUGUGAAGAUAUAUGUCUUGCAGAUAGUGGAAGACACACACAAUCAUUUGAGAUCAAAAAUAAUUUUUUCACCUAAUUUUGACAGACACUAGUGUCAGUACAAUAUCAGGUCCCACCGACUUGAUUGAAGGUUCCGUACGAACCAACAUCAUUUUACCACAUGGAACAAGAUUACAAAUCAAUGAUGCCUUAUAUUCUACAAGAUUUCGGAGAAAUCUGUUGAGUUUUUGAAGACUUGCGUCGUAAUGGGUAUCAUAUUGAGACCGCAAAUGAAAGAAAUGUGGAAUAUCUUUACAUUGCUUUCAUUACCUCAUGUAAGAAGCUGAUACUACAAAAACUCCCUAUUUUCUUUUCCCUGUUAUACUAUACAACUAUUAGGACAAUUGAGUCAAAUGUUGUGAUACAUAAACAAUUUUGUGACUCAAAACUUUUUAUGCUUUGGCAUGAUUGACUUGGUCACUUGGGGAGUAUAAUAAUGCGUCGAAUUAUUGAAAAUUCACAUGGACACCAACUAAAGGAUCAAAAAUCAUCUUACUAAAUAAUCAUCUAUGCAUCGCAUGCUCAAAAGGUAAGUUGAUUAUUAGACCAUUCCCUUCAAAAGUCAUUGUUGAAUCUCCUCCAUUUUUACAACGAAUUAAUGGGGAUAUAUGUGGGCCAAUUCAUCCACCUUGUGGACCAUUUUGCUAUUUUAUGGUCUUAAUUGAUGCCUCAACACGAUGGUCACAUGUUUGUCUACUUUUUAUUCGUAAUGUUGUAUUUGCUAAGUUUACUUUCUACUCGUAAUGUUGUAUUUGCUAGACUUCUUGUUCAAAUCAUCAAAUUACGGGCAUACUUUCCUGAUUACUCAAUUAAGACAAUCCGUCUUGAUAAUGCCGCUGAAUUGUCUUCUCAAGCUUUUGAUGACUAUUGUAUGUCAGUUGGAAUUAAUGUUGAACAUCCUGUUGCACAUACUCAUACUCAAAAUGGUAUGGCCGAAUGACAAUCCGUCUUGAUAAUGCUGCUAAAUUUUCUUCUCAAGCUUUUGAUGACUAUUGCGUGUCAGUUGGAAUUAAUGUUGAACAUCCUGUUGCACAUACUCAUACUCAAAAUGGUAUGGCCGAAUCUUUUAUUAAAAGAUUUCAGUUAAUUGGUCGUCCUUUACUUAUGCGAACAAAAUUAUCUGUUUCUACCUGGAGCCAUGUCAUAUUACAUGCUGUAUUAUUAGUUCGUAUAUGACCAACUGCUUAUCAUAAGUACUCACCAUUGCAAUUUGUUUUUGGUCAACAAUCAAAUAUCUCACAUAUGAGUUUUUGGUUGUGCUGUAUAUGUUCCAAUUGCACUACCCCAACGCACUAAAAUGGGUCCUCAACGUAAACUUGGAAUUUAUGUUUGCUUCUCCAUUUAUUAUUAGAUAUCGUGAACCUCAGGUGAUGUCUUUAAAGUACGAUUUGAUGACUGUCAUUUUGAUAAGGUUGUUUUCUUACCAUUAGGGGGAGGAAAGGCAUAACAGUAACAUAAUAUUACUUGGAAUGUCUUGGAAUUUUCUCAUUUUGAUUCUCGCACAAAUCAAUGUGAACGAGAAGUUCAAAAGAUCAUUCACUUGCAAAAGGUUGCAAAUUAAUUACCUGAUGCAUUUACUGAUACAAAGAAAGUAAUAAAAUCACAUCUACCAGCUGCAAAUAUUCCAGCACGAAUUGCUGUCCCUAGGGGACUUUCUAGCAGUAAUGUAGCAAAUGCAUCUAAAACAAGUCUGAAGCGUGGUAGACCAGUCGGUGCAAAAGAUACUGCUACUCAUAAGAGAAAAUCAUAAAAAAAAAAUUGGCAUUCCUGAAGAGGCCACAAAAGGAGCAAUAGAUAUUAUUGAUCAAUCUGAGAUAAUAGUCUUUGAUAAGACAUAAGCUCUUGAUAAGGCCCAGAUACUUAAAAAUGAUGAAAUUAUAAAUAUUGAUGAGGCAAAGGCAACAAAUGAUGAUAUGACACUUGAUAAGGCACAUGCUCUUGAUGAGGCAAAGGUGCCUGAAAAUGAUGAGAUCUAACUAAAUUAUGGAACAAGAUGGAAUAGAAAUGAAAUUGUUAUUGACAACAUAUUCUCAUAUGUCGUUCAUCUUGAUAUUGAUAAUGAGAAUCUGGGACUUCAAAACGUCGAAGAAUGUCGACGAAGGAAUGAUUGACCAAAAUGGAAAUAAGCGAUACAAGUAGAGCUAAAUUAAUUAGCUAAACGUGAAGUAUUUGGACCUGUAGUCCAGACACCUGAGGGUGUUAAUCCUGUUGGGUACAAAUGAGUAUUUGUACGAAAACGUAAUGAGAAAAAUGAAAUCGUGAGAUACACAGCCCGACUGGUAGCUCAAGGUUUCUCAUAGAGACCUGGUAUUGAUUAUGAGGAAACAUACUCCCUUGUGAUCGAUGCACCCACAUUUAGAUUCAUAAUACAUUUGGCAGUCACACAAAGAUUGCAUAUGCAUCUAAUGGACGUGGUUACAGCAAAUUUUUAUGGAUCACUAGAUAGUGAUAUUUAUAUGAAAAUCCCAGAAGGAUUUAAAAUAUCUGAAACAAAACUACGUAAUAUGUACUCAAUAAAAUUACAACGAUUCUUAUAUGGAUUGAAGCAGUCUGGACGAAUGUGGUACAAUCGCUUUAACGAUUAUUUACUCAUAGAAGGGUAUGUGAACAAUCAUCUUUGUUCAUGCAUUUUUUUUUUAACAAAUCAGAAUCUGGUUUUGUUAUUGUUGCAGUAUAUGUUGAUGAUCUGAAUCUUGUGGGAACAUUAGACGAGAUUGAAAAGACGUCCACUUAUUUAAAGUCUAUCAAUCAACAUAUACAGAAAAGAUCCUGAAACGUUUUUAUAUGGAUAAAGCCUGGGAAUGCAUCAACUAAAGGAUCUUCAGGAUUGAAUUAAUGAGGGGGAGCAAUUGAUCGAAAAGGUAUUGACAUACUGUACUCUUUUUCCUUCGUCCAGGUUUUGUCCCAAUGGUUUUCCUGGCAAGGUUUUAAUGAGGCAAUUUUAAUUUAUGCAAUACCAUUUUCAGAUACACAAGAAUACUUUACUCUUUUUCCUUUGCUAUGGUUUUGCUCCACUGUGUUUUUCUUAGCAAAGUUUUAACGAGGUAUAUUCUUAGUGUAGUAUUGUAGACUCUAAAGAGGAGUGUUAUGUAUAUAUAUAAUUGUGUGGGGUCCCUAAAUGGAUUAAGUCAUCCAUGAGGUCACGUUUUGCGGGGAGAAUAAGACCACAAUUGUGGUUUAUAAGGGAAGCUACAUUAUGAGCCUAUAAAGGUCAUGUGUAUGUAUUGCCUUGAUAUACACUUGAAUGAAAAGCUAUUUCAUUUCUCUCUCUCUCUGUGGAAGUUUUUUUCAUUUCUCUCAUUUAAUGUUACUCUCUUUCUCUUUCUCUAUAUAUAUAUAUCGAGUUAUUCUUACCUGUUAGCUUGCAUGAGCACCUAAACCACACAUGGACAUGGUUAAAUUACAAGAAGUUGUUGCACAUAAGAAGCUCCAACUCAGGGUACAAACGGCUUAUUGCAGGUUAGAAGCUUUAAAAUGACUAAAGUGGAAGUAAGUUAUGCAGACACGUGCACCAUGGUCAAUUGGACACAUUGUGUGUUAACAUUUGAAAUAAAAUUGUACAUUUUUCAAAUGGUGUACGGGUUUAAUUGUUAAUAAAUUAAGGCCAAAAUUGGCCAUGAAUGGUCACAAGAGGCUGAACAUGAAGACUGGCCUAAGUAAAUACAAUUCUACAAAAAAUUGGUAUGAACCCAUUUUCAUAAAGUUAGACGGCAGUUGUUAAUACCUAAAUUAUAAUUGAAAAUUAUCAUGCCACGUGGACGAAGAUCCCGGGGUCCGGACUCUGGAUCAACCCAUGAUCGUUGGGGCAAAAGAUUAAUUUCUAAUCAUGUUGAUCGAAAUUUAAGGCCGAUAAUUAGGGAGAAUGGAAUUCUUAGGUUCAGAUAAGAUAUUGGGGUCAUAGCCCAAAGAGAGACUCUCGGUCAGUAUGAGCUAAGAAAGUCUCGACUAUCACGGCCUAAGAUUCUCGAUCACUAUGACCUAAGAAAGUUCCCCAAUCACUAUGACCUUAGACUUUCAGUCAAGUAUGAUUAACGCCAGGGUCCCUCGAUCAAGUCAUGGCCUAAGGCAUUAUGACCUGGGAAAACUAAUCGGCUAUAAUAAUGAGUCUCGGUCACCAUGGCCUAAGUCUCUCUAUGACCUAAGAGAGUCUCUCGACCAUUAGGGGCUAGAAGUCUCGACCAGACAUGGUCAAGAGUCUCGAUUAGUAUGACCAAGGAGGUCUCAACUAAUGGCCUAAGAGUCUCGAUCACUAUGGCCUAGGAGUUUCAGCCAACCAUGGUGGCUUUCGAGUCUCAACCAUGACUAAGAAGAAAAUUUAUUUCUGACCAUGGUCAUGAGCCUUGACCAUGAUUGAGGAAACUUUAUUUUUGACCAAAAUAAUCAAACUUUAGUCAUAGUCAAGGCCAAAGGGACUUCUCAAUCACAAAUCAAACCAUAGUCAAGAAUGACAUGUUGACAGUACUUAUCAUGAAUAUGCCUAAAUGUUGGACCAGUUUAGGCCAAGAUGGAUUCGAUAUCCUCUUAGGUCAUGAGCACUUAAAGAAGAUUAUUUCGGAGAUCUUACCAAGCUCGAACAAAUUGGUUCCGUUUGAGAAUAUCAGAGCCAAUUUGAGAGGCUGCUGGGAAGAGCGAGAAAAGUGUUCUCAUUUCAGCAAGUGAGUUGUUUCGUCAGUGGCCUUAAAGAUGAUAUUCGGCUAGAUGUCCAAGCUGCUCAACCAAACAACCUUUCAGCUGCGGUUGGGUUGGCACAUCUUUAUGAGGCGAAAUUGUAAGCCCAAUAAAAAGUUUUCCAAACAGAUUCAAAGAAGCCAAAAAUGGAACAAUCAUCAAACUACCAGAUUAAUGUUCCAACCAACAUCAAGAAGCUCACACAAGCAUAAAUCAAUGAGAGACGCACAAAAGCUGCAAAAGGAUUUUUCUUAUUCAAGGAUGUUUGCCUGAGGAAGUUGAGAGGUAUGAAGAUAUUAAAGACAUGCAAAACAGAUUUUCAGAACUUGGCCUCGAGGACAAGACCAAAUCUUAGAGGGACGGAAUUGUUACAUGUUAAGUGGAGAUUUUAGUGGGUAGUUAUCAGUAGUCAUGUGUUUAACUAUUUUGUAGGUGAAGUGGGGUAGUUAUUUAGAAGUGGAAUGGACAUUUAUGUGGUACUUAUGAGCUUUACUAUAUUGUAGGAGAUUUUGGUAGUUUUAUUAUUGUAUAAAGUAUUAUAAAUAGGAGUUCUACUACAAAUGAGGGGGGAAGUUGUGAUCAUAGUAGAUCUUGGAGGUUGGUUUCUCUUGAAGUAAACCAUCUAUAAUCUUGGAGGCUGGUUUCCCUCGAAGUAAACCAUCUAUGUAAUAUUAUAUUUCUUUUCCUUUAUAGCUGCUUCUAUUUCCCUAUUCAAAAUAGGUAAACACAAGAACAAGUUCCUUCCAUUAAACCCUUUAUUACUAGAAAAUAGACCUAUUACUCCUUUGUCGAAGGAACGCAACACAAACAGCCUAGUGAAGUCCGUGAUUUUGUGAGUUUUAGUUUUAUUUUGAUUCUUAUGAUUUAUUGUUCAUGGACUGAUCUGGUCUCAUUUUUUUGUUUAUUGUCAAAAUAAUAAUAAUAAUAAUAAUAAUGAAUUUUAUUCAUUUAAAAUUGUAUUUUACUUGAAAGGAACGCACAAACAAGCGUGGUUUUGUGACCACGAGGGAUUGGGAUAUGGAUAGGGACAUUUUCAUGGUGAGAGAUAAGCUUGUUCUUACUGUGCAAAUUCAAAACUUUUAUGCGGGUCUUGUGGAUGAUAUAUAUGGUGAUUUUGAAGAGAUGGAGAUUAACCAGGAUUAUGUCAGGCUUGGCCGCUUAGAGCUAUGUUUGUGAGACAUGGUAUUGAUGUUACUAGUGAUUUUCGUUUCUACUGGAUGACGGGUACUUAUUAUUGUUUUUGGGUUAUUUUAAAUUUUGUAGUACUUGGUUUUGUUUGAUUUUAAUGUAUUAAUAUGUUUUGUUUUUUAAUUUUAGGAAUUAAAAAUGUUUAUACCUAUACGUGUUGUAUUUCUCACGUCAAAACAAAAAGUGGACUUAUACAUGCACUGUUAUACCAAUCCAUGGCGGGAAGGGCAACGUAACGAAAUUUGAAAUUACAUUGACUAUCAAAUUAAUUGGUAUUUCCCAGAUUGGCGAUGAAGAGUACCAAUUAAUUCAAUGUUUGAAGAAGCACUCUUUCACCCCAAUCACCCACCACCGUCCCAUGCUUCGUGGAAAGAGAGAACAAAAGCUAUGCAAGCUUAUGCCCGUGGCCGCGGCUUGCUUGUGAUUUUGAGGGACUAUCGAUGUCAUCUGUAUGGUAUGGUUAUAGGAAUAUCUGAGACUAGGAGUGCCUCGGCAAUUCCACGACUACGGCUAUAUCACACUUGAGACACUGGAUAACUGGAUCAGCAGUAUGUUUCCAAGUGUAAUUAUUGGAGCAAUGUAUCUUGUAAUUAUUGGAGCAAUGUAUCUUGUAGCAGUGUAUCUUGCUUUUGAUAUUUUUAUGUUGAUGUUAUUUUGCUAUUGUGGGAGUAUCUAACGAAAUUUGAAAUAACAUUGUAUUUCCUGGAUUGGCGUUCAAGAGUA